rnacentral:rRNA from 1 species
GGUGGAGCUGGGGCGCGGGGGCGAGGAGGGCGUACCGCGUGGACUGGGCUUCGGCGAGCUACGGGGCUGGGGAAGCGGGGGCGGCGACACGCGGCAGCGGCAGCGGCCUAGCGGUCGCGGUGGAGCGGGACUGCAGCGGGGCGGUGGAGCAGGCGUGGUGGCCGUGGACAACGGAGGGGCUGGGGCGACGGCCUUGCGGAGGGGCGGAGAGGGGGUCCGGCGAGGGAACGCGAAGCUGCGGGCUAGGGGAUGACGGCAGCUGAGGCUCUGACUACAACGGCGACACUAUCUGAUACAACUGCUGCUGGGGAGGAAGAGCAGACUCGAAGGUC